rnacentral:rRNA from 1 species
UCUGGUGAUGAUGGCAUAGAGGAAACACUCCUUCCCAUACCGAACAGGAAAGUUAAGCUCUAUAGCGCCAAUGGUACUGCAUGGGAGACUGUGUGGGGGGUUCGAUUCCCCGGUA